rnacentral:rRNA from 1 species
UGGUGGGUAGUUUGACUGGGGCGGUCUCCUCCCAAAGAGUAACGGAGGAGCACGAAGGUUAGCUAAUCCUGGUCGGACAUCAGGAGGUUAGUGCAAUGGCAUAAGCUAGCUUGACUGCGAGAGUGACGGCUCGAGCAGGUGCGAAAGCAGGUCAUAGUGAUCCGGUGGUUCUGAAUGGAAGGGCCAUCGCUCAACGGAUAAAAGGUACUCCGGGGAUAACAGGCUGAUACCGCCCAAGAGUUCAUAUCGACGGCGGUGUUUGGCACCUCGAUGUCGGCUCAUCACAUCCUGGGGCUGAAGUAGGUCCCAAGGGUAUGGCUGUUCGCCAUUUAAAGUGGUACGCGAGCUGGGUUUAGAACGUCGUGAGACAGUUCGGUCCCUAUCUGCCGUGGGCGCUGGAGAAUUGAGGGGGGCUGCUCCUAGUACGAGAGGACCGGAGUGGACGCAUCACUGGUGUUCGGGUUGUCAUGCCAAUGGCACUGCCCGGUAGCUAAAUGCGGAAGAGAUAAGUGCUGAAAGCAUCUAAGCACGAAACUUGCCCCGAGAUGAGUUCUCCCUGAGACUU